rnacentral:rRNA from 1 species
AGUAACACGUGGGUAACCUGCCCAUCAGAAGGGGAUAACACUUGGAAACAGGUGCUAAUACCGUAUAACAAUCGAAACCGCAUGGUUUCGGUUUGAAAGGCGCUUUUGCGUCACUGAUGGAUGGACCCGCGGUGCAUUAGCUAGUUGGUGAGGUAACGGCUCACCAAGGCAACGAUGCAUAGCCGACCUGAGAGGGUGAUCGGCCACAUUGGGACUGAGACACGGCCCAA